GCAACAAAAUUGCUGCAACUUGUAACAAAAUCUGAUUUCAACGCAUUUUAAGUAGAAAUGUUGACAAAAUAUUUCAAUUAACAUGCGCAGAAAUCAGAUUUUGUUGCAAGUUGCAGCAAUUUUGUUG